AAAAAUAAUUGUAGCCGUAAAAUAAUUCCUUCGUUUCCAACUUAUGCAAAGUCAUUUUCCAACUCUUCAAGUCGACAAGUGCGCAACGGAACAGGAUCCUCUGUAACGAUGCCAGUGAGAUUUUCUUAUUCCUAUGAUUGUUUCUCCAAAGCCUCCAAUCUUCUCCAUAAUUGAGGUAGUGAAGAGCAUCAACUUGAUUCAUUUUUGAACAACAGUUACGAGAACUAUGGCUUCAACCUCAAACCAUGAGGGUUCUUCAAUGAAAGUGCGAAAAAAUUGCAAGAAAGUGGAUAGGAUCAGCACUUGUUCACAUUCUCUCUUUCCUUCCAACAAAAUACACAGUCGAACCAGCAUCCUGUCAUCAAGAUGGAAGCAUCUUUGGGCUUUUGUUCCCACUUUAAAUUUCGACGACAGCUUGAUGGACUGUUAUUCAGAAAAGCGUUCUUCCAACUUCAUGAACUUUGUUGAUAGAGUACUUCUCCAUCACGAUUUGUCCUAAGUUCCGUUUAUAUUGCGAUGGAACCACGGACAUUGAUUUAUCAAGAAUAUGUACAUGGAUAAGUGUAGCCAUAAAACGCGGUGUUCAAGAACUUGAUACACAGAUUGAACCAUCUGAGCAACAUUUUGCCUUACCUUUAAGGCUCUUCACUUGCCCAACAUUGAUGGUCUUGAAACUGGGAAAUGAAGUUAGAUUCAGAGUUCCUUGCUCAGCCCAUUUCGGAAGUCUCAAGAUCCUUCAUGUUUCAAUUGAUUAUCUAGACAAUGACUUGGCGCAAAAUCUCUUUCGUGACUGCCCUGUUCUUGAAGAUCUGUUUAUGGAAGGAAUUGUUUCGAAUGAUGAAGAACUAAUUUUUAACGUCUCCACCCCUGUUCUGAAGAGUUUAAAUUAAAACUUGCUGCAGAAGAGUUUUUCAUAAAUAAUGGUGACAAAAUUGUGGUCAAUGCACCGAUUCUUGAGUAUCUAAAUCUCCAGGAUGAUUACUUUCUUUGCUAUGUGCUACAAAACCUAACCUCGUUGGUUAAAGCAUAUGUCAAUGUCGGAUACUGCUGUACAACAACCAUGGCAACCAAAAAACAUGCUGAUAGUUUACUUGUGCUUCUCAGAGAAAUUUUUAAUGUCAAAUAUCUCUAUCUAGGUGCUUGUACCUUGUGGGUAAGCUUGUAUUUGUUUUCUUUGAUUUUACUAUUACCUCAUUACUUUUAAGUUUGUUGGAUUUGUUAUUUUUAAAUUUUGAUUUAGUAUAUAAUUAUAUAUAGCACUUUUAUUUAACUAUAAUGUUCAUAUCUUGUAAGGCUCUCGACUAUGCUGAUGAUAGUAAACUGCAUUUGUUCCCUAAUUUGAUUCGUUUGGAGUUGCAUGUUCACAAUUGCUACGGCUGGAAAGGUCUACUAGAAUUGCUCAAUAGCAUGCCCAACAUGGUGCAUCUUGUUUUGAAGAACUUGCAGAACUGUCGAUGUAGUGAAGAUAAUGCUUCCAAGGAUUGCAAUUUGGUUGAACAAGAAGUGCCUUGUUGUCUAUCGAGGCGUCUUCAAGAAAUUGAAAUUACUGGAUUUCGGGGCCUGAGUGUUGAGCUGAAGCUGAUAUACUUCUUGAGAAUGGCAUAGUACUGCAAAAGUUAGCAAUUAAUUCUUCUCAUUCAAAAGAAAAACAAGAGACAAAGUUUCUCAAGGAACUUCUGAUGUUUCCUAGAGGCUCGAGAAGCUGUCAAAUUUUCCAUUCUUAAGAACAUUCCUGUCAGCACUACAAAGCCAUGCCUUCAAUCACAAACAAUCAGGUUCCUUUGAUCUCAACAACGAAGAUAGGAUCAGCACAUUGCCAGACUUCCUUCUUAUUCACAUUCUCUCUUUCCUUCCAACAAAAUACGCUGUCGAAACCAGCAUACUGUCGUCAAGAUGGAAGUACCUCUAGGCUUCUGUUCCCAAUUUAGAAUUCGAUUCCAACUUGCAUUCAGAUAUGAGCUCUUCCAACUUCAUUGAACGAGUACUUCUCAAUCAUGAUUUGUCUUGCAUUCAGAAGUUUCGUUUAUCUUAUUAAGGCUCUCGACUCUACUGGUGAUGGUAAACUUCUUUUGUUCCCUAAUUUGAUUCGUUUGGAGCUGCAUGUUAACAAUUGCUAUGGCUGGAAACGUAUGCUAGACUUGCUCAAUAGCAUGCCUAACCUUGUACAUCUUGUUUUGACGAAAUUCUUUUGACAGAAAUGCAUUUCUUUUGUCCUUUUUGUAAUAUAAAUGACAAUCAUACAAGAGUCCGCUUGGGAUUGCUUAUCUACUGCUUAAAAACGUUUUUAUUUUAAGAAAUUAUGAAUGUAGUCCAGUAAAGCAU